UUGAGCAUCAAACUUUUAAAUUGAAGAGUUUGAUCAUGGCUCAGAUUGAACGCUGGCGGCAGGCCUAACACAUGCAAGUCGAACGGUAACAGGAAACAGCUUGCUGUUUCGCUGACGAGUGGCGGACGGGUGAGUAAUGUCUGGGAAACUGCCUGAUGGAGGGGGAUAAC
rnacentral:rRNA from 1 species